UACGGGGGGGGCAAGCGUUGUUCGGAAUUACUGGGCGUAAAGGGCUCGUAGGUGGCCAACUAAGUCACACGUGAAAUCCCCAGGCUUAACCUGGGAACUGCGUGUGAUACUGGAUGGCUUGAAUCCGGGAGAGGGAUGCGGAAUUCCAGGUGUAGCGGUGAAAUGCGUAGAUAUCUGGAGGAACACCGGUGGCGAAGGCGGCAUCCUGGACCGGUAUUGACACUGAAAAGCGAAAGCCAGGGGAGCAAACGGG
rnacentral:rRNA from 1 species